rnacentral:rRNA from 1 species
CCUACGGGCGGCUGCAGUGGGGAAUAUUGCACAAUGGGCGCAAGCCUGAUGCAGCCAUGCCGCGUGUGUGAAGAAGGCCUUCGGGUUGUAAAGCACUUUCAGCGGGGAGGAAGGCGGUGAGGUUAAUAACCUCAUCGAUUGACGUUACCCGCAGAAGAAGCACCGGCUAACUCCGUGCCAGCAGCCGCGGUAAUACGGAGGGUGCAAGCGUUAAUCGGAAUUACUUGGCGUAAAGCGCACGCAGGCGGUCUGUCAAGUCGGAUGUGAAAUCCCCGGGCUCAACCUGGGAACUGCAUUCGAAACUGGCAGGCUAGAGUCUUGUAGAGGGGGGUAGAAUUCCAGGUGUAGCGGUGAAAUGCGUAGAGAUCUGGAGGAAUACCGGUGGCGAAGGCGGCCCCCUGGACAAAGACUGACGCUCAGGUGCGAAAGCGUGGGGAGCAAACAGGAUUAGAUACCCUUGUAGUC